rnacentral:rRNA from 1 species
ACAUACGACCAUACCCACUGGAGAACUCGGGAUCCCGUCCGCUCUCUCAUAGAUAAGCCAGUGAGGGCCGGAUUAGUAGUUGGGUCGGUGACGACCAGCGAAUACCUGGUGUUGUAUGUU